rnacentral:rRNA from 1 species
UACGAAGGUGGCAAGCGUUGUUCGGAUUUACUGGGCGUACAGGGAGCGUAGGCGGUUGGAUAAGCCCUCCGUGAAAUCUCCAGGCUUAACCUGGAAAGUGCAGAGGGGACUGUUCAGCUAGAGGAUGGGAGAGGAGCGCGGAAUUCCCGGUGUAGCGGUGAAAUGCGUAGAGAUCGUAAGGAAGACCAGUGGCGAAGGCGGGUCUCUGGACAGUUCCUGACGCUGAGGCACGAAGGUCAGGGGAGCAAACGGG